ensembl:snoRNA SNORD42 Small nucleolar RNA SNORD42
ACGCAAGUGAUGGAAAAUUCACUAUUUGGAAAAGAAUGACAACAGCAACAAAGGAACCACUGAUGUGC